UGGGGAAUUUUUCGCAAUGGGGGAAACCCUGACGAAGCAACGCCGCGUGGAGGAUGAAGGCCUUCGGGUCGUAAACUCCUGUCGACUGGGACGAAUGUGGUCUGGGUCAAUACCCCGGGCCAUCGACUGUACCGGUGGAGGAAGCCACGGCUAACUCUGUGCCAGCAGCCGCGGUAAUACAGAGGUGGCAAGCGUUGUUCGGAAUUACUGGGCGUAAAGGGCGCGUAGGCGGUCCCGUAAGUUCCGCGUGAAAUCCCCCGGCUCAACCGGGGAAUGGCGCGGAAGACUGCGGGGCUUGAGUUCGGGAGAGGGAAGCGGAAUUCCGGGUGUAGCGGUGAAAUGCGUAGAUAUCCGGAGGAACACCGGUGGCGAAGGCGGCUUCCUGGACCGACACUGACGCUGAGGCGCGAAAGCUAGGGGAGCAAACGG
rnacentral:rRNA from 1 species